rnacentral:misc_RNA from 1 species
UUCUCGAUAAUCUCUCUAUUGCCAGUAGAACCAUCAUUAGAAUUAGUAUAUAAUUCUUUUACGGUAACAUUGAAAGCCUCUGGCUUCUCCAUGUAGAGCCUAGAGUCUUCUUUCCCAGACAAGAACUCAUACUUAUUGGUGCUUGAAGAGGAUACAAAACCGGAGACAACUGGCUCAUAAUCCUCUCUGUAACUCUGAAACUGAAAUUUGAAAAAGAACUUCGGUGUCUC